AUGUUGUAACUUUAUCUGCUGGAAUUUCCACUCAAGACCUGGAAUCAACCAGUUUCCUGAGUAGGAAAAUAAAGUUCAGAGACCAGAGUCAGGGCCCCAGAGGUGGUCAUUGCUACUGGUGUGUCUCAGCUUCUGGAACUUUUCAGUGGACAGCGGGACAAAAUUCUUCCACUCAAGGCCUUGCUGAGUUCACAUAGCUAAUUCCUGACAGAGCAACAGGAAACCACGACAGAACAAGGCCUGAAACCAGAGCCUUCUGCAUUUUCUCAUCUGUGAUGACGUACAUUGAUGCUGGACAUUCAUA